rnacentral:rRNA from 1 species
CAGUAGCCGCGGGAAUACGUAGGUGGCAAGCGUUGUCCGGAAUUAUUGGGCGUAAAGGGCUCGCAGGCGGUUUCUUAAGUCUGAUGUGAAAGCCCCCGGCUCAACCGGGGAGGGUCAUUGGAGACUGGGAAACUUGAGUGCAGAAGAGGAGAGUGGAAUUCCAUGUGUAGCGGUGAAAUGCGUAGAGAUGUGGAGGAACACCAGUGGCGAAGGCGACUCUCUGGUCUGUAACUGACGCUGAGGAGCGAAAGCGUGGGGAGCGAACAGGAUUAGAUACCCCAGUAGUCCCUGUCUCUUAUAC